rnacentral:rRNA from 1 species
GACGAACGCUGGCGGCGUGCCUAAUACAUGCAAGUAGAACGCUGAAGAGAGGAACUUACUCUUCUUGGAUGAGUUGCGAACGGGUGAGUAACGCGUAGGUAACCUGCCUUGUAGCGGGGGAUAACUAUUGGAAACGAUAGCUAAUACCGCAUAACAAUGGAUGACACAUGUCAUUUAUUUGAAAGGGGCAAUUGCUCCACUACAAGAUGGACCUGCGUUGUAUUAGCUAGUAGGUGAGGUAAUGGCUCACCUAGGCGACGAUACAUAGCCGACCUGAGAGGGUGAUCGGCCACACUGGGACUGAGACACGGCCCAGACUCCUACGGGAGGCAGCAGUAGGGAAUCUUCGGCAAUGGGGGCAACCCUGACCGAGCAACGCCGCGUGAGUGAAGAAGGUUUUCGGAUCGUAAAGCUCUGUUGUAAGUCAAGAACGGGUGUGAGAGUGGAAAGUUCACACUGUGACGGUAGCUUACCAGAAAGGGACGGCUAACUACGUG